AUAUUAGGUUGAUGCAAAAAUAAUUGCAGUUUUUGCCAUUAUUCUUAGUAGCAAAAACUGCAGUUACUUUUGCACCAACUCAAUAU
ensembl:miRNA